GACGAACGCUGGCGGCGCGCUUAACACAUGCAAGUCGAACGGAAAGGCCCCUUUGGGGGUACUCGAAUGGCGAACGGGUGAGUAACACGUGAGUAACCUGCCCUUGACUUCGGGAUAACUUCAGGAAACUGGGGCUAAUACCGGAUAGGAAUCCUUGCUGCAUGGUGGGGGUUGGAAAGCUUCGGCGGUUUUGGAUGGACUCGCGGCUUAUCAGCUUGUUGGUGGGGUAGUGGCUUACCAAGGCUUUGACGGGUAGCCGGCCUGAGAGGGCGACCGGCCACAUUGGGACUGAGAUACGGCCCAGACUCCUACGGGAGGCAGCAGUGGGGAAUAUUGCACAAUGGGCGGAAGCCUGAUGCAGCAACGCCGCGUGCGGGAUGACGGCCUUCGGGUUGUAAACCGCUUUCAGCAGGGGCGAAGCUUGUGGUGACGGUACCUGCAGAAGAAGCACCGGCUAACUACGUG
rnacentral:rRNA from 1 species